rnacentral:rRNA from 1 species
UUUAAGGUCUAAUCUGCCCUAUGAGGAGUUAAAUGGCCGCGGUACUCUGACCGUGCAAAGGUAGCAUAAUAAUUAGUUUUUUAAUUGAAAGCUGGAAUGAAUGAUUGGACGAGAAAAUAGCUGUCUCAGAUUAAUUUUAUUAGAAAUUUAUUUUUAAGUAAAAAAGCUUAAAUUUUUUUAGAAGACGAGAAGACCCUAUAGAGUUUUAUUCAUAUUAAUAUAUUGAUUUUUUAGAAAUUUUUUAUUAAUAUAUUAAUAAGUAUUUUGUUGGGGCGAUAGAAAAAUAUAUUUAACUUUUUUUAUAUGAAAACAUUAAUUUAUGAUUUUUUGAUCCAUUAUUUAUGAUUAUAAGAUUAAAUUACCUUAGGGAUAACAGCGUAAUUUUUCUUUAGAGUUCUUAUCGAAAGAAAAGAUUGCGACCUCGAUGUUGGAUUAAAAUGAAUGUUUGGUGUAGGGGCUAAAUAAUUAGGUCUGUUCGACCUUUAGAAUUUUACAUGAUCUGAGUUUAAACCGGUGUGAGCCAGGUUGGUUUCUAUCUUUAAAUAGUUAAAAUAUUUUAGUACGAAAGGACCAAAUAUUUGUAAUAUUUAUUAUAUUUUGAUUAUUAUUA